rnacentral:rRNA from 1 species
AGGUAGCUUCUUGCUACUGGACCUAGCGGCGGACGGGUGAGUAAUGCUUAGGAAUCUGCCUAUUAGUGGGGGACAACAUCUCGAAAGGGAUGCUAAUACCGCAUACGUCCUACGGGAGAAAGCAGGGGACCUUCGGGCCUUGCGCUAAUAGAUGAGCCUAAGUCGGAUUAGCUAGUUGGUGGGGUAAAGGCCUACCAAGGCGACGAUCUGUAGCGGGUCUGAGAGGAUGAUCCGCCACACUGGGACUGAGACACGGCCCAGACUCCUACGGGAGGCAGCAGUGGGGAAUAUUGGACAAUGGGGGGAACCCUGAUCCAGCCAUGCCGCGUGUGUGAAGAAGGCCUUUUGGUUGUAAAGCACUUUAAGCGAGGAGGAGGCUACCGAGAUUAAUACUCUUGGAUAGUGGACGUUACUCGCAGAAUAAGCACCGGCUAACUCUGUGCCAGCAGCCGCGGUAAUACAGAGGGUGCAAGCGUUAAUCGGAUUUACUGGGCGUAAAGCGCGCGUAGGUGGCCAAUUAAGUCAAAUGUGAAAUCCCCGAGCUUAACUUGGGAAUUGCAUUCGAUACUGGUUGGCUAGAGUAUGGGAGAGGAUGGUAGAAUUCCAGGUGUAGCGGUGAAAUGCGUAGAGAUCUGGAGGAAUACCGAUGGCGAAGGCAGCCAUCUGGCCUAAUACUGACACUGAGGUGCGAAAGCAUGGGGAGCAAACAGGAUUAGAUACCCUGGUAGUCCAUGCCGUAAACGAUGUCUACUAGCCGUUGGGGCUUUGAGGCUUUAGUGGCGCAGCUAACGCGAUAAGUAGACCGCCUGGGGAGUACGGUCGCAAGACUAAAACUCAAAUGAAUUGACGGGGGCCGCACAAGCGGUGGAGCAUGUGGGUUAAUUCGAUGCAACGCGAGAACCUUACCUGUCUUGACAUAGU